rnacentral:lncRNA from 1 species
AGGGGUUAGGAACUUGAAGAGGUUAUAGUACUGGAACCUGUGUCCCUGAAUUCCACUUGAAGCCAUCUCUGAUUGAAAAUCUGUGGAGCAGGUGCACAGUUCCUCAUCUGUCUAUUCUCUGGCAUCACUGGGUAGCUUCUUAAACAUAUAUUGGACCAAGUUCCAAGGCUUCAUGAGGGUCAACUGGGAAUCUGAGAUUUCAUAGGCUGCCCUGGGACAAGGAUGAGCUACCUGGUUUGGACACCACAGCAGGUGGGGUGACCUCUGUGGACCCUUCUACCUCUAAUUUGCUAAGAAUAGCCUUCUGAGACAGUGAGCGUGAAUGUGAUUAUCGAAUCACAAGAACAAAGUGCCUUGCUAAGGAAAGGCUGGCAUAUCCUAAGGGAUAUAUAAUUAAAACCCAGCAGAUUAGAAUUCCUUUAAGAAAUGAGUAAUACGACGAUUAAGGCAUAUCUGAGACAGCUUCUUCUGCUCAAAGAUUUAUAGGCAUGGGAUGAAUCAGCUCAGAUUAGGAGGAAGAAAAUACAUCUUAUCGCUCACAUCUUGCAGCAGAAGAGGUGUUCAGAGAAGGAGAGCUGUGGCUGCAACCAGCAGGCAGGACACCAGAGGCGCUGUUGCGGAUGUACUCUGGGGUGUACACAGAUUGGAAGAACCGAAGAAGCAAAUUACAGAUACGAACCACAGCUUUGAGACCAGGUAUGGAAACAGGAUGCAAGAUGUUGUGCACAUCGUUGAUAGGUAUAAAAUAACCAGUAGUGACCUGUUUCAUUCUUCUUCUUUUACAUUUUUGUUUGAGGACAGUGGCAGAUGCUUACCUUAACAGCCUAAAUCCCCAAUUUUGGAGUAGCCUCACCUACCCUGGGGCUCAAGAGGGGUGUAGUGAGCCAGGACUUUGUGUCCCCAUCAUCUCCCCACAGGGGGGAUCUCUGCCUUCCAUGAGAGAGCAAUGCUAUGAUGUGAUGGAAGCUGAUGGAAAUGUGAGAAGGGAUGCUAAGUCACAAAAGGGAAAGACUGCUCUGAUCCUAAGCCUGUUUGACCUCAGCUCCUUUUGUGAGUCUCCCCUGUCUGAUAUGGGCUACUUUGGUGCCUCCCUUGUGAACCAAAUCCUCCCUUUGAAUGUGAACUAGUUCUUGGCUCACUUUAGCUGAGAGGACAGAGUGGAUGUGAUGCUGUGCAAAGUUUAGGAAUAAGCCUUAAGAAGGCUUGGAGUUUCUGUUCUUACAAUCAAGAAAUUCAGCUGCCACACGAGAAAUCUCUCUACUGCUGGACCACCAUGCUGUGAGAAAGACCAAACCAGUGAGCAAGAGUGGCCUCCCAGAGGGAAAUCUAGAGGUCCAGCCAUAAGGGGAACCCGGGCAGACAGUGUCGGUGCAGCUCCCAGUCCACACCCUUUACCAGUGUGCCAGCCAUGAGUGGGCCUUCUUGAAAGUAGACCCAGUGAGCAAACGUAGCCGAGCAGUUGCAGCACUCAUCUGCACACAUGGAGCCCUGCCCUGCUUAUAAAAUAAUGAACAGAGAAGGCAGCAGGAUUUAGCCACACAGCCGUGGGUCACUUGUGACACAGCAAGAGACCAAGGGAGUACCCCUUUACACAGCUCCAGGAUGGCUGACCCCAGCCAUCCAUACCCAGUCUGGUAACUCUGUGUUACCAGAGAGAGUGUGGUCAGAGCGAGCCCCUGGAAGGAGACCGAGAGGCCGGAGGGCAGAAGCUGCCUCCCUUGAGUGGUUUUGUUACCCACAUGAGGACUAUCUGUGCUUCUGGUUCACCAAGCAACCCAUUUCCUUGGUGCUCCGUGACGUCGCCUCUCCCCAUCACUGCU